UACGGGGGGGCAAGCGUUGUUCGGAAUUACUGGGCGUAAAGCGCACGUAGGCGGCUUUCUAAGUCGGGGUGAAAUCCUGGAGCUCAACUCCAGAACUGCCUUCGAUACUGGAAAGCUCGAGUCCGGGAGAGGUGAGUGGAACUGCGAGUGUAGAGGUGAAAUUCGUAGAUAUUCGCAAGAACACCAGUGGCGAAGGCGGCUCACUGGCCCGGUACUGACGCUGAGGUGGCGAAAGCGUGGGGA
rnacentral:rRNA from 1 species